rnacentral:rRNA from 1 species
GACAUAGGUCGCAAACGUUAUCCGGAAUUAUUGGGCGUAAAGGAUGCGUAGAUGGUUCAGUAAGUUACUGGUGGGAAAUCGAGGCCCAACCUCGUGGAAGUUAGUAAUACUGUUGAACUUGAGUGCAGGAGAGGUUAACGGAACUUCAUGUGGAGCGGUAAAAAUGCGUAGAUAUAUGAAAGAACAUCAAUAUGGCGAAGGCAGUUAACUAUUCUGCUACUGACAUUGAGGCAUGAAAGCGUGGGGAGCAAAACGG